UAUGUUAUAUUAUUUCUUCAUAAUAUUCUAUAAAGUUAGAAAGUUCAUUGCAAUUGCGUCAAAGAAAUGGGACCUCUCUUAAGAAAAAUUGUCGUUUCCAUCGUGCUGGUACUGUGGAUUGUAUCUAUUGAAGGCCGAAGGGGAAGUUUUCAGAUGAUUUCAAAUCGCAGACGCAUAACUUUUGCUGGAUGAACUUAUCGAGAAUACAAUUUCAAUAAAAUACAUCAUUUAAUCAACAAAUGAUAAUAAAAUUAACACAGUUAUUUUGUACAAUAUUAAAAUAAAAAUGAGCAUCAGCCGAUCAA